GUGGUCCUUACCAUCUCUUCGACGGCGACGGUAUGCUUCACGC
rnacentral:sRNA from 1 species